GCGCAGCAGGCGCGAAACCUUCGCAAUGCGGGAAACCGCGACGAGGGGACUCCCAGUGCCUACGCUCAGCGUAGGCUGUUCCCGAGCCUAGAAAGCUCGGGGAGUAAGGGCUGGGUAAGACGGGUGCCAGCCGCCGCGGUAAUACCCGCAGCCCGAGUGGUGGCCACUAUUAUUGGGCCUAAAGCGUCCGUAGCCGGCCCGGUAAAUGCCUGGGUAAAUCGUGAGGCCUAACCUCACGAAUUCCGGGUAGACUGCCGGGCUAGGGGACCGGAGGAGGGAGAGGGUACUCCAGGGGUAGGGGUGAAACCCUGUAAUCCCUGGAGGACCACCGGUGGCGAAGGCGCUCUCCUAGGACGGGUCCGACGGUGAGGGACGAAAGCCAGGGGAGCGAACCGGAUUAGAUA
rnacentral:rRNA from 1 species